UACACAUGCAAGUCGAACGGUAACAGGUCUUCGGAUGCUGACGAGUGGCGAACGGGUGAGUAAUACAUCGGAACGUGCCCGAGAGUGGGGGAUAACGAAGCGAAAGCUUUGCUAAUACCGCAUACGAUCUCAGGAUGAAAGCAGGGGACCGCAAGGCCUUGCGCUCACGGAGCGGCCGAUGGCAGAUUAGGUAGUUGGUGGGAUAAAAGCUUACCAAGCCGACGAUCUGUAGCUGGUCUGAGAGGACGACCAGCCACACUGGGACUGAGACACGGCCCAGACUCCUACGGGAGGCAGCAGUGGGGAAUUUUGGACAAUGGGCGCAAGCCUGAUCCAGCCAUGCCGCGUGCAGGAUGAAGGCCUUCGGGUUGUAAACUGCUUUUGUACGGAACGAAAAGACUCUGGUUAAUACCUGGGGUCCAUGACGGUACCGUAAGAAUAAGCACCGGCUAACUACGUGCCAGCAGCCGCGGUAAUACGUAGGGUGCGAGCGUUAAUCGGAAUUACUGGGCGUAAAGCGUGCGCAGGCGGUUAUGUAAGACAGAUGUGAAAUCCCCGGGCUCAACCUGGGAACUGCAUUUGUGACUGCAUAGCUAGAGUACGGCAGAGGGGGAUGGAAUUCCGCGUGUAGCAGCGAAAUGCGUAGAUAUGCGG
rnacentral:rRNA from 1 species